rnacentral:rRNA from 1 species
GACGAACGCUGGCGGCGUGCUUAACACAUGCAAGUCGAACGGAAAGGCCCUGCUUUUGUGGGGUGCUCGAGUGGCGAACGGGUGAGUAACACGUGAGUAACCUGCCCUUGACUUUGGGAUAACUUCAGGAAACUGGGGCUAAUACCGGAUAGGAGCUCCUGCUGCAUGGUGGGGGUUGGAAAGUUUCGGCGGUUGGGGAUGGACUCGCGGGUUAUCAGCUUGUUGGUGGGGUAGUGGCUUACCAAGGCUUUGACGGGUCGCCGGCCUGGGAGGGUGACCGGCAAAAUGGGGAGUGAGAAACGGCCAAGACACGAAGGGGAGGAAGAAGGGGGGAAAAUGGAAAAAGGGGGGGAAGCAUGAGGAAGAAAGGCAGCGGGGGGGAUGACGGCCUUGGGGUUGAAAACCGCUGUGGCCGGGGACGAAGGGGAGGUGAGGGAAAUGGGUAAAGAAGCACCGGCUAACAAGGU